rnacentral:ncRNA from 1 species
UUUAUGGAGAGUUUGAUCCUGGCUCAGGACGAACGCUGGCGGCGUGCCUAAUACAUGCAAGUCGAGCGGAGCUGAUGAGGUGCUUGCACCUCAGAUGCUUAGCGGCGGACGGGUGAGUAACACGUAGGUAACCUGCCCAUAAGACUGGGAUAACCCACGGAAACGUGAGCUAAUACCAGAUAGGCAUCUUC